rnacentral:rRNA from 1 species
GGAUCGAAUUGUUGGUCGUGCCUCGGUACGCACUGGCAUUAUCGGUUCCUGCCUUCUGAAGAACCGCGAUGUCAUUAAUUUGGUGUCGUGGGGAAUCAGGACUGUUACUUUGAAAAAUUAGAGUGUUUAAAGCAGGCUUACGCUUGAAUACAUUAGCAUGGAAUAAUGAAAUAGGACGUUUGGUUCUAUUUUGUUGGUUUCUAGGACCGAAGUAAUGAUUAAUAGGGAUAGUUGGG